rnacentral:rRNA from 1 species
GAACGCUGGCGGCAGGCCUAACACAUGCAAGUCGAGCGGUAACAGNNGUAGCUUGCUANNCGCUGACGAGCGGCGGACGGGUGAGUAAUGCAUAGGAAUCUGCCCGGUAGUGGGGGAUAACCUGGGGAAACCCAGGCUAAUACCGCAUACGUCCUACGGGAGAAAGGGGGCUUCGGCUCCCGCUAUUGGAUGAGCCUAUGUCGGAUUAGCUGGUUGGUGAGGUAANGGCUCACCAAGGCGACGAUCCGUAGCUGGUCUGAGAGGAUGAUCAGCCACAUCGGGACUGAGACACGGCCCGAACUCCUACGGGAGGCAGCAGUGGGGAAUAUUGGACAAUGGGGGCAACCCUGAUCCAGCCAUGCCGCGUGUGUGAAGAAGGCCCUCGGGUUGUAAAGCACUUUCAGCGAGGAAGA